CAAAGUAUUUAAAAUUCUUAGACACUUAAAUAUGGUUUUUCUAACUGAUAAAUGUUGCAUUUUUAAUGAAAAGCGUUGAAACAAAAGCUUGACAUGAAAUUGUACAGACACUAACUAAAAAAAAAAAAAAGAAAUACGUUCGUGUAAAUUGAAUAGAAGAUCGGAGUUGAAAAUGAUAAAUUGUAAAAAGUCACUGACGCCGUCAUUAGCAAACGAAAUAAUCUGAUGUUAGCCUAACAAAAAACAUAAAUAUUUUUUUGUAGGGAGAAUCUUUGUGUAGAAACUACAAAUUAAGACCAUGAUAAAUGAUUCACUCCGUUAGUGUCUAUUUACUAAUUGGAGCUUUCUUGAUAGAGGAAAUGAAUAUAGUAAUAAUUUCUAUUUACUGACCAACUUUCUUUACAGAAAAUCGAUCCAGGACGGAAAAAUACGGAUAUAUUCGGAUGUUGUUUGAUAGACAGAGACGUAUCUCUUUAGGAAAUGCAUGAAAACAAAUACAUCGUUAUAUGUGACUUGCUGAGAACACAGUUGUAAUGCUUGACUUUACAUUUGUCGUAAGACUUUACAAUAGUAUGGUUAAUUUUAAGGAUAUUUGCUGAGAACAC
rnacentral:lncRNA from 1 species